GACGAACGCUGGCGGCGUGCUUAACACAUGCAAGUCGAACGGAAAGGCCCUGCUUUUGUGGGGUGCUCGAGUGGCGAACGGGUGAGUAACACGUGAGUAACCUGCCCUUGACUUUGGGAUAACUUCAGGAAACUGGGGCUAAUACCGGAUAGGAGCUCCUGCUGCAUGGUGGGGGUUGGAAAGUUUCGGCGGUUGGGGAUGGACUCGCGGCUUAUCAGCUUGUUGGUGGGGUAGUGGCUUACCAAGGCUUUGACGGGUAGCCGGCCUGAGAGGGUGACCGGCAACAUUGGGACUGAGACACGACCCAGACUCCUACGGGAGGCAGCAGUGGGGAAUAUUGCACAAUGGGCGGAAGCCUGAUGCAGCAACGCCGCGCGCGGGAUGACGGCCUUCGGGUUGUAAACCGCUUUCGCCUGUGACGAAGCGUGAGUGACGGUAAUGGGUAAAGAAGCACCGGCUAACUACGUG
rnacentral:rRNA from 1 species